rnacentral:lncRNA from 1 species
UAUUAUUAUUAUUAUUAUUAUUAUUAUUAUUAUUAUUAUUAUUAUUACCAAUUUACUUCCAUUAUGUGAAAAAAUGAAAAAUUGUUUUAUAGUCAGUUGCGCCGUGUUUGUCACUUUGUAAAUUUUUUAUGCACAAUUAACCAAGUGAUGAAAAAAGUAAAUUUUGUCGCUACAAAAUUUAUAAAAGGAAAGUUGUUUUGUUUAGCCCUUUUAUGCAACUAAAUCGUGUACUGUUGUUCAUAUUGUACCCAUACAUCAGCAUUUUAUAAAAAAAGAAAAAAUUACACGACCAAGCCUUCAUUUGUAGGUAAGAAUAUGUGCAUUAAUUUAAAAACAAAUAAUAUAACGUGUAUUGUGUAUUAGAAUGGAUGGAUGGAGAAAAAGUGUAUUGGGCCAGUGUUGAUAAGUGAAGAAAAUUUGAUGGUCCGUCUAUAAGACGGACCGCGACCAUAUUCGAAGCAAUAAAGGAAUAGGAAAAAUUCACUUUUAAUUAGAGCUUAGAUAAUAGAAAUCAGGCCGUUUAUAUCUCAUAUUAAGAUAUCUGGAAUGAAGAAUAAAGUGGCAGUUGCCCCAAGUGGAAUGUAGCCUAUUGUUUACAGUUAAAAAACAUAUACUGUUGCAGUGUCUACCAUUAACUUUUCCUCGCUGCUUUUGGAUGUAUUGUUGAUCUGGGGCAAUAGUCUACUUUAUCCAUUGACUAGACGGUUUGGACUGUAAAUUUAUACCAAUGAUUAAAAUGGAAAAUGGACUAUAAUAUAGGGCAGAAUGAACAGAUGGUAGAAACAUUAAUAUUGGGAAAGUUUAAAAAAGUGGCCCAUGUAAUAUCUUCGGAAUAUUAAAUGAUGUUACCCAGAAAAGAUAAAAUCAUUUGUGUUCCGCGAUAUGUGUACAGAUAGCCCGGCUACGGCCUUUGGUGUUAUGAGGGCAUUGUACGAUAGAAAUAAUGAAUAAUUGCCUCUUGGAAUGUGUAAUAGUAGUAGUUCCUUUACAUAACAGUCACAUUGUCGCGUGAAAACGGGCGCGACAAGCCACUGCCAGGAUACUUAAAAAUUGGAAUUAAUGGGGGAAAAAUAUUGUUUUAUACUAAUAUCCAUCUUGAAGAUACUAAAUAACGAAAUUGGUUGGAUGAUCACGUGUUAAAGCAGUCGCUUAAAUACAUGGAAGAUAUUUUUUAAUGCAACUUUCCAUUAGUUUGAUUAUUAAGGGGCGGAACUAUUUCUAAUCUAACUAAACUAAGUUCACCCGUGAGGAUUAUCUGGAUAGAUCGACGACAUUUGAUCUGGACUCUUCAUAUAAAUUUUGAGGUAUGGGAUCUGGAUUCCAUCCUAUAUUAUUUUGAUGAAAAGCCGAAGGAAUUACAUGCGGCAAUUUGGUCGAUGUCGGCAUAAUAAAUCAGUUAUUAUCUUGGAUGAUCCAACUUCCACAUUUACGGAUUUUUCAGUUCUGCACUUUAGUUGAAUUCCACCUUCAGUCUGCUAAAUUGGCCGCAUGGAAACGCUUCAGUUUUCCACUCAAUAGGAUUCGGGGAUCGAUUCUCGAAUCCCAUUCCUUAAAAAUUUCUUCAAGGAGUCGAGCUUGGCCCUCGAACUCCGUCUAUACAACUUGGUUGACUUCUCUGCAGGGAUGGGCAGCCUGUAGUAGAGUUGUUAUAGCCCCGUCACUGGCCGAGUGAUAACGCGCUGGCAUGCUAAGCAGAAGGACUCGGUUGCGUGGCCCGGCAUCUCCUGAAAAGUUUUUUCGGGGUUCUGGGCCCUGCCCGGUGAUCCUCGUCCUUCACCAUCCGGU